rnacentral:tRNA from 3 species
GCGGAUGUAGUUCAAUGGUAGAACUUCAGCCUUCCAAGCUGAUAGCGUGGGUUCGAUUCCCAUCAUCCGCUCCA